rnacentral:lncRNA from 1 species
GUAUAACAUUAUAAAUUAUUAAUUAUUUAGUUAAUGUAUAUAUCUAAAUAAUAAGGUUUUGUUUGGAAUUACGAAAAAAUUGCGCUACGUGCAGUGGAAAAUUAUAUUGAAAAAAUACCCUGUUUAUUUCCGUACGUAAUAUUGCGUUCCGCAUAUCGCGAUGAGUCGGAUAUAUUUUCUGCGGUCCCAUCAGAUAAUACAGAAGCAUAUCCUAUAUGUUUUUUUCUCAACUCUAUUUUAUCUAAUAGCGUUAGAUAGGUCUGAAUACCAAACUAAGCCUAAAUAAUAAAUCUUAGUUGAUUAUAAAAUAAAUCCC